AUGGAGUCACAAACCCCAGUUCUCGUGUCUCUGCUGCUCUGGGUGUCUGGUAUCUGUGGGGACAUCUUGAUGACCCAGUCUCCAUCCUCCAUGGCUGUGUCAGCAGGAGAAAAGGUCACCAUCAGCUGCAAGUCCAGCCAGAGUCUGUUUGGCAGCAAUAGCAAGAACUACUUGAACUGGUACCAGCAGAGACUAGGGCAGAGUCCUAAACGUCUGAUCUACUGGGCAUCCACUCGGGACACCGGGGUCCCUGAUCGCUUCAUAGGCAGUGGGUCUGGGACAGAUUACACUCUCACCAUCAGCAGUGUCCAGCCUGAAGACUUGGCAGAUUAUUAUUGUAUGCAGGGUCAUAGUACUCCUCCCACAGUUCUUCAGCCUCCAACAAAAACCUCCUCUGAGAGUCUCACCAGCUGCAUGACCCCCACACAGCCCUGGACUGAACACUUCCCCCUUCUGCCUGAGAGCCAGUGUGCCUGA